GACGAACGCUGGCGGCGUGCUUAACACAUGCAAGUCGAACGGAAAGGCCCUGCUUUUGUGGGGUGCGCGAGUGGCGAACGGGUGAGUAACACGUGAGUAACCUGCCCUUGACUUUGGGAUAACUUCAGGAAACUUGGGCUAAUACCGGAUAGGAGCUCCUGCUGCUUGGUGGGGGUUGGAAAGUUUCGGCGGUUGGGGAUGGACUCGCGGCUUAUCAGCUUGUUGGUGGGGUAGUGGCUUACCAAGGCCUUGACGGGUAGCCGGCCUGAGAGGGUGACCGGCCACAUUGGGACUGAGAUACGGCCCAGACUCCUACGGGAGGCAGCAGUGGGGAAUAUUGCACAAUGGGCGGAAGCCUGAUGCAGCAACGCCGCGUGCGGGAUGACGGCCUUCGGGUUGUAAACCGCUUUCGCCUGUGACGAAGCGUGAGUGACGGUAAUGGGUAAAGAAGCACCGGCUAACUACGUG
rnacentral:rRNA from 1 species